CGCUCUUUGUAAUCUAGAAAUAAGGAGUCGUACCUGCCCGGUGAAUGUUUAAACGGCCGCAGUACCCUGACUGUGCAAAGGUAGCAUAAUCACUUGCCUUUUAAUUGUAGGCUGGAAUGAAUGGUUUGACGGGGCCCUACUGUCUCCUUUUUAUUAGCUAGAAUUUAAUUUUUAGGUGAAGAAGCCUGAGUGAAAUCGAAAGACGAAAAGACCCUGUCGAACUUAAAAGUGUUCUUAAAAUUCAUAUUUGUAGAAUAAAAAUUUUCUAAGGUUCUUUUUUGUUGGGGUGACAUAAGAACAAAUAAAGCUUCUUUAAGUUAGUUGAAACCUAUAGGUUAGGAAGAUCCAUAAAUUAUUAUGAAAUAAGCUAAGUUACCGCAGGGAUAACAGCGUUAUUUUUUCGGAGAGUUCAAAUCAAAGAAAAAAGUUGCGACCUCGAUGUUGGAUUGGAAAACCGAAUAGGCGGAGAAGCUUAUUGAUGGAGGUCUGUUCGACCUUUAAAUUUCCACA
rnacentral:rRNA from 1 species